GCGACAUUUAUACACAGCGUAGUUAGUAGAGGGGACCUUCUACUAACUAUGUACACAGGAUGUAAACGUUAUUUGGAAGGUGUAAACUUUAUCGUAAAUGAGUCCCUUGUUACUUUUGCAGUGGUGUGUUAUGAAUAAAACUUUGGGAUUGGGUAUUUUGCGGCAGCUACAUGUAGAUAUACAGGAGAUCUAUAAUGGAUUUCCUCCUUUGGGAAAUAAUUUCAAGUUCUGCUCUUACCGUUUGGGACAUCAAGUCAAGUGAAACCUAGGCCCAACUGAGUUUCUGUAGAAUGAAGCGGCUAGGAGUGUUGCUUCUCGCCCCAAGAUGGCAUGAUCACAGGCAAACUGUCCGGUUGCCCCAGCACUGUCUGGUCAGAGCCUUUAAGUGUCUUGCCUGAGGACACGACACAAUGACCCUGGCCAGGGCUCGAGCCCGAAUCUGGAUCACUAGUUCCGCAGCCCAGCACACAAGCCGUAAAAAUAACGAGCGUUUUGCUUGGGGCAUCAAGUAUUUACAGGCAGUUAUAGAGACAUGAAUGAUGAGUCAGUUUUGUGAUAGGAAUUGCCGUCAGAUCAGUUAUAAACUGAAGACAUCUUAAACUCUGACUGUCUCUGGAAAACCAAUUACAUGCAUUAAUUGCACUUUACUGUAUUCUGCAAGUUCUUAGACGUUUUGUAAAAUGUUUGCGUACCCUUUUGUAGAUCCAAGUACCUCCUCAAACAGCGCAAAAUGUAACAAACAAGCAACUACAAGCUGUAAUACUCAAGCACCAUAUCCCAGUUCCCUUCCACCACGGUUUGAAAUGAAGCUAAGCCAGCUGGAAUGGACAUGGAAGAUCCAAGUACCCUGAAGUACCUCUUCAAACAAAGCUCAAAUUGAAACAAAAUCAGCUGUAGUACUCAAGCACCAUAUUACGAGAACCCGGUUGAUUCCUAGUUUGGUGUACGGCAGACGAAAAACUGCUUUCUCAGGGCGACAACGCUUCCAUGGUCAGCAUACAGUACAGCCUUUAAGGCACCGUGUAAUCUACACCGGAAAACGCUUCAUAUGUUUUCCGUCCACACUACGCCGGGUGAAUUUAAAAACACAACAAUCAUCUGUCAUUUUGGAUUUGUGUUUG